UACGUAGGGGGCGAGCGUUGUCCGGAGUUACUGGGUGUAAAGCGCACGCAGGCGGUCUGCUAAGUUUGGAGUGACAGUUGGUGGCUUAACUGCCAAAGUGCUUCGAAAACUGACAGACUUGAGGGCUUCAGAGGGACACGGAAUUCCGGGUGGAGUGGUGAAAUGCGUAGAGAUCCGGAGGAACACCAAAGGCGAAGGCAGUGUCCUGGGGAGUACCUGACGCUCAGGUGCGAAAGCCAGGGGAGCGAACGGG
rnacentral:rRNA from 1 species